CUGUUUAGCGAUUUUGCACUUGGGCACAAAUAUAAAAGAGCUCUGCCAUAACAGGAUUGAGACGGUUCUAAAAUUCUUCAAGAUGAAUGAGCCUGAGAUUUCCGUUUGUCCUCAGAUUGUUUAGCUGCACAGAAACGGACUAAUUGCGAAGUCACUAGACAUGAUUCUUUGCACUGGUGAGGAAGAAAGGUGAGUAGCCGUCGGAGCAAGAGAAGAGAAGCUUGCUCUCUUGCUGUCUGUUGCUCUUGCUCCGGCCGUGACAUGGUGUUUCCCAAUCGAAGCUUGGAGGUGCGGCUUGGGGAAGAGAAGGAGUCGAAUGGGGAGCCGCCGGUCGUAGCCGCUGACGCCUCCGGGCGCAGCCGCCGGACGCACUGGCCGCUGCCGCGGGGCUGCAGCUGCUGGGGGAGGGUAGAGGAGUGGGGAACAGGGAGCGUACUAGUCACUUGGUCGUCUUCCCCUCCGGGCGCAGCCACAGAGCCAUCCCCGCCGCCGCCGCCGCAUUUGCAAGGGAGAGGACUCGCCGGACAGUAUUUUGCCCACGCGCGUUGGAGCCGUGCCCUUCCAUUUUUCGGCCGGGGAAA
rnacentral:lncRNA from 1 species